UACCUGGUUGAUCCUGCCAGCAGUCAUAUGCUUGUCUCAAAGAUUAAGCCAUGCAAGUCUAAGUACGAGCUCUCGUACAGUGAAACUGCGAAUGGCUCAUUAAAUCAGUUAUGGUUCAUUUGAUCGUACAGUUUACUUGGAUAACUGUGGUAAUUCUAGAGCUAAUACAUGCGAGA
rnacentral:ncRNA from 1 species